CAAUCAUUUUGAAAUCACUUCACUCUCACACACACAACGUGCAGUCGCGCGGUGAGCGCUGGAGCGAACGAUCCCGAGGCAACCCAUAGUUGUGUAGCUGUACAGAGGGUGACUGACAGAGGACCAAAACGCUGGCAACUAAUGGACAUAUAGUAUAUUGUUUUGUUUUUUUACUCUGGAACCCUCUGCUACGGGAACAUAUUGAGGAUUAGCUUAGCAGCUGGUGAGAAUGUUCCAAACUAAGCACGGGAUGCUGCCAUAAAACUGGUCCGGAGACGUACUAUAUAUGGUUGUUUCCGUAUCCGAGGAGGGGACAACAAUCUGAUGUGCAGCGCUUCUGGUCACCAAGUUGUUUUCUGCCGGCAAUUAACGCACUCGAUUUGAUAUCAGGGGGACCGUCAUUGGAUUUGAAGGAAUAGGCUAACCGUCGUCGGCUGAUCAAGUGGAUUGUUUGUUGUUGGGGGUUUUUAUCACGGGGAGAGCGUUGUUCAUGUAUUGUGGAUUCCUACUUGUGGGGAGAUAUUGAGGGCUGAAGUGGCUUCGUUCAGGAGAGGCGAGGGAUCGAAGCUUCUAGCCCGGCUGAAGCACUCAGAACUGGGAUAGGCUACUGAGGAGUUCUCAUCCAUCCAAGACCGGUGCUGUGCCUGUCAAGUGGAGGGAUGGCGCUGAGGUGGGAUUCCACGCUGGUGUUGGCCGCCAUGCUUCUGGUUUGCUGUGGCGCCGAUCCCACUGACAUUCUCUACCGGAUGCUCGAGGAGCAGCCGCCCAACACGUUGAUCGGCAGCCUGGCAUCGGACGAGGGCCUGCCCGACUCAGGCCACCUGUACAAGCUGGAGGUGGGCGCCCCUUACCUGCGCGUGGAUGGCAAGACGGGAGACAUUUACACCACAGAGGUCCCCAUCGACCGUGAGACACUGCGGGACUGCCGCAACCUGCUCGAGGGCGACAAGUGCUUCCUGGAGUUCGAGGUGUCCAUCACGGACCUGAAGCAGGGCCAGGGACCGCGGCUGAUUGAGGGCCGCAUCGAGGUGCAGGACGUCAAUGACAACACACCCCAGUUCACCUCGCCCAUCCUCAUGCUGUCCAUCCCAGAGAACACACACAUCGGGGCACUCUUCUCCAUCCCCAUGGCCAGCGACAAGGACUCGGGCCACAACGGCGUAGCCGAGUACUCGCUUAGCGCCGGGCCUGACGCCGACCAGCUCUUCAACCUGCAGGUGGCCGAGGACACAGACGAGAAGCAGCCGCAGCUCAUCGUCAUGGGCAACCUGGACCGUGAGCAGAAAGACUCGUACGAUCUCAACAUCCGUGUGGUGGAUGGGGGCACACCGCCGCGAGCCAGCAGCGCCCUGCUGAGGGUGACCGUCACCGACCAGAACGACAACGCACCCAAGUUUGAGAGGAGCCACUAUGAGGCUGAGCUGGCUGAGAACAGCCCUGUGGGACACUCAGUCUUGCAGGUGAAAGCCAACGACGCUGACAUGGGUACCAACGGGGAGAUCGACUAUAGCCUGCACCAGGCCUCCGAUGCCGUCCAGAGGUUGCUACGCAUUGACCGCUCCACAGGGAUCAUCUACGUCAAGGGGCUGGUGGACCGCGAGGAGGAGAGCUUCCUCAAGUUCUUCGUGGUGGCCAAGGACCGCGGCCCCAACUCCAAGAACUCCAAAGUCCUGGUGACCAUCAACGUCAAGGACCAGAACGAUAAUGCACCCGCCAUCGAGAUCCGUGGCAUCGGCCUGGUCACCCACCACGACGGCGUGGCCAACAUCUCAGAGGACAUGCCCAUCGGCACGCCUGUGGCCCUGGUGCAGGUGUCGGAUCGUGAUGAAGGGGAAAAUGCUGUGGUCACCUGUGUGGUGGCCGGGGACGUCCCCUUCCAGCUGCGGCCCGCCAGCGAGUCAGCCAACGACCGCAAGAGGAAAUACUUCCUGCAGACCACGACCCUGCUAGACUACGAGCGCAUCAAGGACUACAGGAUUGAAAUAGUAGCGGUGGACUCCGGUAACCCUGCACUGUCCAGCACAAACUCCCUGAAGGUGCAAGUCACCGACAUGAAUGACAAUGCCCCUGUAUUCUCCCCCACCCUGUUUGAGGUGGACUUUGCAGAGGAGAAUCAGCCAGGUGAUAAGGUCCUGGAUGUGGUGGCCACGGACGCGGACAGUGGGUCCAACGCAGAGCUGACCUACAGCAUCAUCAUGGACUCGACCACUAAGGGGCUCUUUGAGAUCGACCCCAAAACGGGAGAGGUGCACGUGAGGAAUACGCUGGACCGUGAGCACAGAGAGCAGUACGAGUUCCACGUGGCAGCGGCCGAUAAGGGCUCGCCUAGCCUGAGGGGGACAGCCACGGUAGUGGUCAAGGUGCUGGACCGUAACGACAACGAACCCAAGUUCAUGUUGAGCGGCUACAGCUUCUCCGUUUUGGAGAACAUGCCUCCGCUCAGCCCUGUUGGCAUGGUGACGGUCAUCGAUGCAGAUAAGGGCGAGAACGCCAGGGUUCGGCUCUCGGUGGAGCCCGACAAUGGCAAGUUUGUCAUCCAGAAUGGCACAGGCACUAUCCUUUCCAGCAUCUCCUUUGACCGUGAGAAGGAGAGCACAUACACUUUCCGCCUCAAGGCUGUGGACGCCGGUGACCCUCCCAGGUCCUCCUACGUGGGUGUGACCAUCAACGUCUUGGACGAGAACGAUAACUCCCCCUACGUCACCAAGCCCUCUAACUCCUCCUACAAGUACCUCCCACCUCUCACGACCCCCGAGACACGCGUGGAAGUGGUGGAGGCUGAAGACAUCGACACAGGACCCAACGCCGAGCUGGUCUUCAGCAUUACCGGCGGGAACCCCUACGGACUGUUUCACAUCUCGCCCACCAAUGGGGAGAUAACCCUGGCCCAGGAGUUCACCCGCAAGCACAACGGGCUCCACCGUCUGGUGGUGAAGGUGAGCGACAAAGGCAAGCCACCACGCCACACCACCGCCCUGGUCCACAUCUUCGUCAACGAGACCAUGGGCAACAUCACCCUGAUUGAGUCUCUGGUGGGUCACAGCCUCUACACUCCUCUGGACAGAGACAUUGCCGGGGACCCCAACUACGCGCUGGCCCAGCGCAGCAAUAUCCUGUACGGCAGCCUAGCGGGCAUCGCCGGAGUCAUCCUGGUCAUCGUGGUGGUGGUGGUGAUCCGCCAUCGCAUGCAGAAGGACACCAAGAGCGGCUACCAGGCGGGCAAGAAGGAGAGUAAGGACCUGUACGCCCCCAAAGCAGGGCCCAAGAAUGGCAAGGGCAAAAAGAGCAAGAAGGGCAAGGUGCCCAAGCCCACCAAGCCACUGGAGGAGGAUGAAGAGGCCAGCCUCCAGAAGGGCCUCAACUUCAACCUCAUAAACGAUAGUGUCAAUGACAGUCCCCGGAUCCACCUGCCCCUCAACUACCCCCCGGGCAGCCCCGACCUGGGCAGACACUACCGCUCCAACUCCCCACUGCCCUCCAUCCAGCUGCAGCCCCAGUCCCCCUCUGCCUCCAAGAAGCACCAAGCCGUUCAGGACCUGCCUGCCACCAACACCUUUGUGGGCACAGGUGACAACAACUCUACAGGCUCCGAUCAAUAUUCGGAUUACAGCUACAAGGCAAACCCGCCGAAAUACAGCAACAAACAGCUCCCCCAUCGCCGAGUGACCUUCUCCACGGCCAAUCAGGCUCAAGACCUACAGGACCCCUCCCAGCACAGCUAUUACGACAGCGGAUUGGAGGAAUCGGAGACCCCCAGCUCCAAAUCAUCAUCGGGGCCCCGUAUUGGGCCCCUGGCCCUGCCUGAGGACCACUACGAGAGGACCACCCCGGACGGCAGUAUCGGAGAGAUGGAGCACCCGGAGAACGGUGCAGUAUCGGGCGCUGAUCAAGAGAUGGGGGCCAGCCAAAAAAGACUGCCUUAAGACACAAUACUUUUUUCUUCAAAUUUUCAAAAAGAUUGAGUGCACUCGCUUUUUCUCUGCUGCAGUUCAAAGGAUCUUUUCCUUUCCAUCAUUUGCCUGUGGUCGUGAACUGCUUUUAUCGCUUGAUGUCUGUCAAAUAGAAACUUGGUACAAGUCUCCUUUGUGGAGUAACGAAAGAAGGAGAAAAACUCUGACAAAAGUUAUUGAUAACUCAAAAUAAUGACUGGAACUUUUGUCUUUUUGGAGGACAAGACUGGCAGUUGAGUCAUCCUCCCUAAGAUUUCCCUUCUCUUCUUUUUUAAAUAUUUUUGGAGCGGAACUCAUUCUCUGUGGAUACUGCGGCCUUCUUCAUACGGAUCAAUAUCUAAUGGAUCCAUUACGUUAUAACUGGAUUAUUUUUUGGGCUGUCUUUUUGCGGUCACUGUGCUAUCUCCUUCUUUGUCUUAUUUGGACUGGUUCCACUACAUGUGUUGAGGUGGGGUGGGGGGGCAAACCAUCCUACCAGCCCCACUCCUCUCUGCCCCGUCAAUCUUACCCCUGGUGACUGUCUGUCUGUUCAUCGACUGUGAUUGACAGUCAGAGUAAUCAGGACAGGGUUUGGCAGAUCUCAGGCCUCUGCCUGAUGUGGCCAUGACUGGGAAUUGCACCCAUGAGUGUACCGAGUUCGGCCACUCCGACGCCUGCUGGAUGCCUGGACAGCCCUCCCCCAAUCGUAAGAGCUCCACCAAGAACGCCCCCAAGCUCUCCACCUUCGUGCCUUACCUGGAGAGUGAGGGGCAGGACCACCUCAUGGCUAACGGCAGCCCCAAGCCCAUGGCAGAAGAGCGUGGGAGUGGUGGAGGUGGCAGCGGAGGCUCCAAGGUGGCUAACAUCCGCUUCCUUCCCCCUUACAGCAGUGCCUUCUCCGGGGGCAGCGACUCCGGCAAAGGCUGCGAGGAGAUCCCCCUGAGCCAGGCAGCCGAGUACCACUCUGCCACCACACCCACCAACCAGGGCUCCAAGAGAGAGAUUUACCUGUGAGGGCGAUGAUGUGGCCACCACCCCACCACCUUCACCCUUACCCGUAUGCCCACUGUUCCUGACCCCAUGCCCCCAAGCCUACCCCCUCACUGCCCCUGUGCCUAGCUGCUAUGUCGUCUGAGAAGUGCCAUAGCACCACCACCACCCUCCUUUUUAUAACCACCUCCCACCGUAUGAGGCUUUAGAAUCCACAAAACCUCCUAUUAAUUAAAUAAAGAGUACAAAUCAGUCAAAGCCAAACGAAGAAGAUACUUGGCGAGUGCAAAUGCUACUGAGAGAAUGUAAACUACACUAUCAUUUAAACAUUGUGAUAACUUAAUUGGAGACUAUUUAGUUAUGGUUGCGUGUUCAAGUUAUUUUUUUUGACGAUGGAUUUCGGUUGGAGUUCCGUUGGAACUGAAAACAACGAGGGUAGAAAAGUGUUCUUGUAAAAUAGACACAUGAAUACACAGUGAUAGGUCAUCUAUUUUAGGUGUUCUUUCGGUUUUUCUGUUUUGUUUCCUUUUUUUAGAAGUGAGUGUCAGUCUCAACUCUGGGACCUCAAAUUAAUAAGCAAUAAGGCACAGGGGGUUGUAGGAUAUGGCCAAUAUACCAUGGCUAAGGACUGUUAUUUGCACGACGCACCGCGGAGUGCCUGGAUACAACCAUUAGCCGUGGUAUAUUGGCCAUAUACCACAAACCCCUGAGGUGCCUUAUUGCUAUUAUAAACUGGUUACUAAAGUAAUUAGAGCAGUACAAUAAAUGUACCCAUGGUAUACGGUCUCAUAUACCACAGCUGUCAGCCAAUCAGCAUUCAGGGCUGGAACCACCCAGUUUAUAAUUAGAAUUAGAGCGGUGUUUCUCUUGCCUGACUACCCAAACUCCUUGCUCCGGCAAAAUGCUACACCACACCCACGGAUGUUAGUUUCUUCUCCGCAAUGAGUCAUGAUCCGAGUAUCUUGCGCAACGAUUUCUAGAAGAGGAAAUAAACAUUCUAGCCAUUCUGAUUGGUCCCAGAGACCAAUGGGUUGGGACAGAGCCAGAACACGUGGGUAAAGCGGCAGUUUGAAAAUUCGUCAUUGGCUUUGAUACUCUGAUUGGUUAGAGAUGAUCCAAUCACUGAUUACUUUGUUUUGUACACCACCCCUCAUUUUAGUCGACACCACAAACAACUUCAAUGAUGGCAGUCUCAGACUGAAGUAUGUAGCGAACUAUAGAGCAGCGGAAGAAUUCAGUUUGAGUCAUCAGGCAAGUCCUGCUCCUACUCAAGAGGACACAGCUGACUGAUCAUUUUGCCAACCUUUGCUCAACAUAAGACAUUAAAGUCCUCAACACAUUUUUCACAGCCAAGAGGUCUUUAUCAAUGUACAGAGCUGUAAAUACAAUGGACAUGAGUUUAAGCAUUUUAUUCAAUUUUUUUCCUUUGGCUGUAAAGAGCUUCAAUAAGAGCUGUACCUUUUUGAGUCAUUGUUGUUAAGAUCUCACAGUGAUGUGGAACCUUUGUUGGUUGGUUGUGUUAUCCAUGAUGCACCGGUGGACAAUACCAAGUGUAACACUGGCAGGAUUUAUAACCUGUGACACAUCACUGAACAUGUGAAGCUACAGUACAAAUGUGUGACUUUGUAUUCCUCAUCUUUACUAUGAUCUUGGACAAAAGAAAAACACUUGAGAAAAAAAAUGGUGCUGGUGUUAAAUGUGUUGGCUGAAGGGGAUGUCAAUGUCUACUGCUGUGCAUUUUCAAUCCCUUGCCACCCAAAUCUCAAACUCCUUGAUUGAGGUCUCACCGAAGGAUCAAUUCACACCAGGUAUCCAGUUGGAGAGCAACAAGAAACAGCUUGCUUUUAUUAAGGUGUAUCGUUCCAUGGUGCACGAACUCCAUAACUCUAACUCCCAUAUAUUGCAAUCUCUAGUUUCUAAGUUUGGCAAUUUAGUAGUCAUCUUUGUGAAAACUGAUGGUAUUUAUCACCUGCUGUUCCAAGUCAGCUCCCCACUGUAGCACGUCUGUUAGAGACCUGCUGUGGGUGAGGUAAAGGCUGUCCUGGUCCUGUGGUGUGACAGUGGUAGUAGUUGUAGAGUUGGGGAGGAUUCACAGCUCUCCUAUACACUAGCGCGCUAACCCCGCUAACCCCGCCAUGCAGAGGCAUUGCUCUAAUUGAACCUGGAGGCAUCGUUCAUUAGCAGUGAUCAUUUCCACAUCUCAAAACCGAGCAGGGUGUCCUGGCGGUUUGGAAGUUAAUUUGGAGUCUCAUAAUAAUAACUGCUGACAGUAAUGGGGAUUUCACCUGUGGCAAUGAGCAUCAGCCAUGAUUGGACUAAUGAAAACGCAUUGAGGAGAAAAAAGAGAGCGUGAAAAAGACCUCCAGACUACUAACACUACAGCUGGAGCUCUCGCACAACAUAAACACCACCGCAGGACACACUCAAAGAGACAUUGUUGUUGUUAUGGCUUGCUAGAAUACAAAACAUGAUUCAGGUGUGGUCAUUUAAGGGUCAUGACAUCAAAAAGCUAAGGUCACAAGGUCAGGCUAGUAUGUGUAUCUUAUGUUCCUGUAUCUGACCGUAGACUGCAUUUUUUUUAAUGCAUUUCUAGUGUGCUUUGAAUUACAGUUCACAUUCUACAAGUCCAUGGCUGACUUGAUUGUGCGUGCUUCAAUGCAUACCAUGAUAUAAAUGUGACUAAAUGGUUAAUCAUUGUAAAUAAUGUAUCAUUUAAAAAUCUCAGUCAUAGGUCUAUCAUGGUGACAAUCAAUCCCUGUGACCUUUGAAAAAGCGUGUAUUUUAUUUAAAGCCACAUAAUAAAGGGAUAGGCUACAUGAACAAAUAAGGCACGAAAGGAACGGUGGACAGCAUUGAAUCUGUUUUGAAUCUGUUUGAAAUCAACUGUAUUUCAGUUCUACUGGGCUAUGUCAACAUUGUACAAUAUAUUACAUUAAUUAAUGAAUACAAUUUUCAUCAUCACUCAUUCUAAUGAACACAAAGUAAUGUUCAACCAAAUCUUCCCAAUGACUACUCCACAGGAAGGUCCAUACACAGUAACAGAAGGAUCUUGGACCUCAAGUAACUGUUCAUUCAAAGUAUAUCUCAACAUUGAUUUCAUGUCCUUGUUUGAUAAUUUAUAGAUCAAACACUGGUCCGAUAUUAAGUCACUGGUUUCCCCUGUGGUGUUCCUUCACAGCAAACAAGCAAUUUUUUUCUCUCUGACAGGGCCUCUAGUCCCCUGGUUCUUCCUGACAGGGCCUCUAGUCCCCUGGUUCUCUCUGACAGGGCCUCUAGUCCCCUGGUUCUCCCUGACAGGGCCUCUAGUCCCCUGGUUCUCCCCGACAGGGCCUCUAGUCCCCUGGUUCUCCCUGACAGGGCCUCUAGUCCCCUGGUUCUCCCCGACAGGGCCUCUAGUCCCCUGGUUCUCCCUGACAGGGCCUCUAGUCCCCUGGUUCUCCCCGACAGGGCCUCUAGUCCCCUGGUUCUCCCUGACAGGGCCUCUAGUCCCCUGGUUCUCCCUGACAGGGCCUCUAGUCCCCUGGUAACCUCCCUUGCCCACCCAUGGACUGAUCAGGACCUCCAGCGCCGGAGGGAUAGACUCUAAGCCCUUCUGAGCUCCAUCUUCUGAGUUGACAUAGCUGAUAUACAGAGGGCUGAAGGAGAAGAGGGCUGAGGGGGAGGAGGGGGAGGGGGAGGAGGGGUCCUUGAACAACAAAUGGGGAGGGAGAUGGAGAUAGAGAUGGAGUGAGAGUAAAUGAUUUGUGAAGGGGGUAGGUCAUGUGGCACCAAUUAACCCCAGCUUUUUGUGGUGGUGUGGAGAAGCUGACCUUUGAAAUGCAAUGCUAUUUGCUUUCCUUUAACCUUUGAGGCUCAAUGUGAACACAGGGUGAAAUUUGAGAGGGGAUGAGGAGAGCAUGUGUGUGUGUGUGUGUGUGUGUGUGUGUGUGUGUGUGUGUGUGUGUGUGUGUGUGUGUGUGUGUGUGUGUGUGCACACGCUUGUAUGUAGCACACAGGUGUUUUUUCUGUAUUUGUAGCUUUAGAGGUGCUGCCUGCAUACUGUAAAAAGAUGGCUCCACCUAAGCUCUAUGGACUCUUCUGACAGUCUCACAAACUCUCACUCUCUCCAAGGGGAAUCACCUGGAGUUUAUCCCUAGAGAGGAGCUGUCACAGAUACUGGCAGGAGAAGACUGUGUGCGUGUGUGCGCGUGCAUGCGUACGAGAGAGUGUGCACGUGUGUCUAGCACCACUGCAGCAGCAUCCUAUUUUAUGCUGAGGCAAAGCAUGCCUAUGUUGAUUUGGUUGGUUUAUUGCUUUGUGUGUGCAUUUUAUUCAAUUGUAUUCCUUAAUUCAUGAAGCAUGUAGAACUCUUUACCUCAACGGAUCGGCUUAUACAGUAACUGGUCCGUGAAACAUGGAAUGCAGUCAGUGCAGAUAGGCGUAACAUGGAUGACAAGGGAUAUUAUUUGGCACACCUUUUUCACAUCCCUUUUGUGUUUUUGUGCUCAGUACUUUUCAAAUCCUCAUCAUGAUGAUAAUUCCACCUGGUUUGCUUUUAAGAGACAAUUUUACAGAUUCAGAGAAUUGGGUGUGCUCAUAAAUAUGGUUGGAUAUUAAUUAUAGUGAAUAGAAAAUGGAAUGUAGAUCAGUACUCGUAAUGUUAUCAAGGGAUUCCCUUGUUGGUCUAUAUAUCUUGAUUCCUAAGUAUUCAUUAAAGCAACCUAGAAUGAGUUUAGAGUGCUAAUUGAAAUCACUUUGCUUUCCAGUGUGUGACGUUUAGGUGUGUGUUUUGAAAAUGGCUCAGUCAAUGGUAUGUGGAGUGACAUUGAGCACUCAUUUAUAGGACCCAACCAUUAUAAUGACAUCACUGGGGUGGGCAGUUCAAUUCGAAGCCCACCUCCAAGGUCUAUCAAUUAUGUUAAAGCUCCAAUCACAUCACAUUAUGGUGUCAAAUCAUACCAGCAGAACAAACAAGACACAGUUAAUCAAGGUGCAAAUAUCAACUGGGGCUGGUCAAAGACAUAGGUAGGUGCUGGUUGUUCCUGAUGAGGAGAUUUAGUAGAGCAUGAAAAAGCCAAUUUUAUAAAUAUAUACAUUUUUGUUGUUGUCAACGUUGUUUUAUUAAUAGAAUAAAAACAACACAGCUAUAAACA
rnacentral:lncRNA from 1 species